UACGUAGGUGGUAAGCGUUUGUCCGGAUUUAUUGGGUUUAAAGGGUGCGUAGGCGGCCCUGUAAGUCAGUGCUGAAAUAUCCCGGCUUAACCGGGAGGGUGGCAUUGAUACUGCAGGGCUUGAGUACAGAUGAAGUAGGCGGAAUUGACGGUGUAGCGGUGAAAUGCGCAGAUAUCAGGAGGAACACCGGUGGCGAAGGCGGGUCUCUGGGCCGAUACUGACGCUGAGGAGCGAAAGCGUGGGGAGCGAACAGG
rnacentral:rRNA from 1 species